GACGUAGGGCGCGAGCGUUGUCCGGAUUUAUUGGGCGUAAAGCGCACGUAGGCGGCUUUGCAAGUUAGAGGUGAAAGCCCGGGGCUCAACUCCGGAAUUGCCUUUAAAACUGCAUCGCUAGAAUUGUGGAGAGGUAAGUGGAAUUCCGAGUGUAGAGGUGAAAUUCGUAGAUAUUCGGAAGAACACCAGUGGCGAAGGCGAUUUACUGGACACAUAUUGACGCUGAGGUGCGAAAGCGUGGGGAGCAAACAGG
rnacentral:rRNA from 1 species